GACGAACGCUGGCGGCGUGCCUAAUACAUGCAAGUAGAACGCUGAAGGAGGAGCUUGCUUCUCUGGAUGAGUUGCGAACGGGUGAGUAACGCGUAGGUAACCUGCCUGGUAGCGGGGGAUAACUAUUGGAAACGAUAGCUAAUACCGCAUAAGAGUAGAUGUUGCAUGACAUUUGCUUAAAAGGUGCAAUUGCAUCACUACCAGAUGGACCUGCGUUGUAUUAGCUAGUUGGUGGGGUAACGGCUCACCAAGGCGACGAUACAUAGCCGACCUGAGAGGGUGAUCGGCCACACUGGGACUGAGACACGGCCCAGACUCCUACGGGAGGCAGCAGUAGGGAAUCUUCGGCAAUGGACGGAAGUCUGUCCGAGCAACGCCGCGUGAGUGAAGAAGGUUUUCGGAUCGUAAAGCUCUGUUGUAAGAGAAGAACGAGUGUGAGAGUGGAAAGUUCACACUGUGACGGUAUCUUACCAGAAAGGGACGGCUAACUACGUG
rnacentral:rRNA from 1 species